ensembl:snoRNA U3 Small nucleolar RNA U3
AAGGCUAUACUUUUGGAGAUUAUUUCUAUAGUUUCCUACUAGAGAACAAACCCUACCAUAUAGAGUAUUGAAUACUAGGAGGAGUCGUUUCUCUCCCUUUGCAUGAGGUAAGAGGGAGGGAACAAAGUCUGAGUGCU